AGAGUUUUGAUCAUGGCUCAGGAUGAACGCUAGCGGCAGGCCUAAUACAUGCAAGUCGAACGGCAAGAGUUCUAGCAAUAGAAUUCCUAGAGUGGCGAACGGGUGCGUAACGCGUAUGCAACCUACCCUAUACAGGGGGAUAGCCCGGAGAAAUCUGGAUUAAUACCCCAUAGUACUAUGAUGAGGCAUUUUGUUAUAGUUAAAGAUUCAUCGGUAUAGGAUGGGCAUGCGUCUGAUUAGCUAGUUGGGGGUGUAACGGACCACCAAGGCGACGAUCAGUAGGGGUUCUGAGAGGAAGGUCCCCCACACUGGCACUGAGAUACGGGCCAGACUCCUACGGGAGGCAGCAGUAGGGAAUAUUGGGCAAUGGGCGAGAGUCUGACCCAGCCAUGCCGCGUGCAGGAAGACGGCGUUCUGCGUUGUAAACUGCUUUUAUCUGGGAAGAAAAAGUCCAUGCGUGGAAAAUUGCCGGUACCAGAUGAAUAAGCACCGGCUAACUCCGUGCCAGCAGCCGCGGUAAUACGGAGGGUGCAAGCGUUGUCCGGAUUUAUUGGGUUUAAAGGGUGCGUAGGCGGCUGAUUAAGUCAGUGGUGAAAGUUUUGGGCUCAACCCAGAAAUUGCCAUUGAUACUGGUCGGCUUGAGUAUUGGAGGGGUACAUGGAAUUGAUGGUGUAGCGGUGAAAUGCAUAGAUACCAUCAGGAACACCGAUAGCGAAGGCAUUGUACUGGCCAAUAACUGACGCUGAUGCACGAAAGCAUGGGUAGCGAACAGGAUUAGAUACCCUGGUAGUCCAUGCCGUAAACGAUGAUUACUCGCUGUUAUGCCCUUGUGGUGUAGCGGCCAAGCGAAAGCGUUAAGUAUCCCCCUGG
rnacentral:rRNA from 1 species